GAUGAACGCUGGCGGCGUGCCUAAUACAUGCAAGUCGAGCGAACGGACGAGAAGCUUGCUUCUCUGAUGUUAGCGGCGGACGGGUGAGUAACACGUGGAUAACCUACCUAUAAGACUGGGAUAACUUCGGGAAACCGUAGCUAAUACCGGAUAAUAUUUUGAACCGCAUGGUUCAAAAGUGAAAGACGGUCUUGCUGUCACUUAUAGAUGGAUCCGCGCUGCAUUAGCUAGUUGGUAAGGUAACGGCUUACCAAGGCAACGAUGCAUAGCCGACCUGAGAGGGUGAUCGGCCACACUGGAACUGAGACACGGUCCAGACUCCUACGGGAGGCAGCAGUAGGGAAUCUUCCGCAAUGGGCGAAAGCCUGACGGAGCAACGCCGCGUGAGUGAUGAAGGUCUUCGGAUCGUAAAACUCUGUUAUUAGGGAAGAACACAUGUGUAAGUAACUGUGCACAUCUUGACGGUACCUAAUCAGAAAGCCACGGCUAACUACGUG
rnacentral:rRNA from 1 species